AAAAAGUCAAACCAUGGGUUUCCGUAUCCAACUUUAACUGUCCGUCUUAUAUGAAUUUUUUUUUAUAAUUCGUAUUUUUAUUGUUGUUAGAUGAUAAAACAUGAUUAAUAUUUUAUGCGUGAUUUGUCUUUUUAAUUUUUUUUCAUAAUUUUUUAAAUAAGACGGACGGUUAAAUAUUGAACACGGAAACUAGGG
rnacentral:pre_miRNA from 1 species